rnacentral:rRNA from 1 species
ACGCUGGCGGCGUGCCUAAUACAUGCAAGUCGAACGGUCUUUUCUAUGGAAGCUUGCUUCCACUGAGAAGAUAGUGGCGAACGGGUGAGUAACACGUGGGUAACCUGCCCAUAAGAGGGGGAUAACAUCCGGAAACGGGUGCUAAUACCGCAUAGUUUUUCUUGAUCGCAUGAUUGAGAAAGGAAAGACGGCCUUUGUGCUGUCGCUUAUGGAUGGACCCGCGGCGUAUUAGUUAGUUGGUGAGGUAACGGCUCACCAAGACGAUGAUACGUAGCCGACCUGAGAGGGUGAUCGGCCACAUUGGGACUGAGACACGGCCCAAACUCCUACGGGAGGCAGCAGUAGGGAAUCUUCCGCAAUGGACGAAAGUCUGACGGAGCAACGCCGCGUGAGUGAAGAAGGUUUUUCCGGAUCGUAAAACUCUGUUGUCAGAGAAGAACAAGUUGGAGAGUAACUGCUCCAGCCUUGACGGUAUCUGACCAGAAAGCCACGGCUAACUACGUGCCAGCAGCAGC